GUCUCCCGUCAAUCCUUGACCGCCCUGUGGUGGCAGUGUGGUUAGCUGGUUGUCCGUCACCGUAUACCAACCAACUGGCUACCCGCAAAGCCACUAUGGGACGGUCCCAGUCAUCUCAUCACUGG
rnacentral:pre_miRNA from 8 species